rnacentral:lncRNA from 1 species
AGGAUCAACAAUUGCGGUGUCCCUUUGAAACCUAAGUUCCAAAUGAGGUUGAACAAGCAUCAGGUAUGUCCAUUGAUUCCAUGGUUACUUACAUUGCAUUGCAUUGUUACAUUCAUUUCAUUUGUAGGAAAAUACUUCUAACUAAUAUUGUUGUGUAGGAAAAUAGAACAAACUACUCUGAGGCUGGAUCUUCAUUGGCUGCAACUGCACAAAGGCCACCAAGGGUACCUGCUGCCUCUGCACCUGCACCAAUUCCUGCUCCAGUAACAAAUGAGUCAACACAGACAGCUUCUAGGUCAAGGAAGAGGGCAGCACCAGCUACAUCAACAGCACCACCACCUCUCAAGAAGAGCAGGACCAACACAUCUUCUGCAACAGUAGUAGCACCUGCCAAGAAGAAGAACACAACUGUCAAUGGCAAUGGAUCAAGGUCUUCUCCAGCAAAGAACACCAGGUCAUCAAGGUCUUCUCCAGCAAAAAACGCCAGGUCAGCUACUGCCAACAGAGCUGGCACUGGAUCUUUCAUUGCUCCUAGACAGGCUGCUGCCAAUAGAGCUGCUACAAGUGUUGUGCAUGAUGGGUCAAAGAGGGUCAGGAAGCCAUCAAAUAGGCUGAAAGAUUACUUUUAUGCAAGUGGCAACUAGCUGAAGUUGUUGAACUCCAAGUGCUUCAUGCUGUUUGAUUUGGUUUGUAAUAACAUUGCCUCACUAAGUACUUGAUACUGAACUCUUUGUAAUAUGGUACUGUAUGUG